rnacentral:rRNA from 1 species
AUUGAACGCUGGCGGCAGGCCUAACACAUGCAAGUCGAGCGGGGUUUUCGGACCUAGCGGCGGACGGGUGAGUAAUGCGUAGGAAGCUACCCGAUAGAGGGGGAUACCAGUUGGAAACGACUGUUAAUACCGCAUAAUGUCUACGGACCAAAGUGUGGGACCUUCGGGCCACAUGCUAUCGGAUGCGCCUACGUGGGAUUAGCUAGUUGGUGGGGUAAUGGCUCACCAAGGCGACGAUCCCUAGCUGGUUUGAGAGGAUGAUCAGCCACACUGGAACGGAGACACGGUCCAGACUCCUACGGGAGGCAGCAGUGGGGAAUAUUGGACAAUGGGCGCAAGCCUGAUCCAGCCAUGCCGCGUGUGUGAAGAAGGCCUUCGGGUUGUAAAGCACUUUCAGUAGGGAGGAAGGGUGUUGUGUUAAUAGCACAGCAUUUUGACGUUACCUACAGAACGAGCACCGGCUAACUCUGUGCCAGCCGCCGCCGUAAUAC